rnacentral:rRNA from 1 species
GGUGUGAAUUAGCGGCGAACGGGUGAGGAACACGUGAAGAAUCUGCCUUCAACUCUGGGAUAACUCCGGGAAACCGGGGCUAAUACCGGAUAUGAGCCUUGAUCGCAUGAUCGGGGCUGGAAAGUUUUUCGGUUGAAGAUGACUUCGCGGCCUAUCAGCUUGUUGGUGAGGUAAUGGCUCACCAAGGCGACGACGGGUAGCCGGCCUGAGAGGGCGACCGGCCACACUGGGACUGAGACACGGCCCAGACUCCUACGGGAGGCAGCAGUGGGGAAUAUUGGGCAAUGGAGGAAACUCUGACCCAGCGACGCCGCGUGAGGGAUGAAGGCCUUCGGGUUGUAAACCUCUUUCAGUAGGGAAGAAGCGAAAGUGACGGUACCUACAGAAGAAGCACCGGCUAACUAUGUGCCAGCAG